AAAAUUACACUUUCUUGUCCAUUGUAUCAUUAAUAUUCCUAAUUCAUAUCUUUGUUUGGAUUAACUCUUCCCUUCUUAGAAGGGUAAUAUUAAAUGGAAUGAAAUCAUAAAACAAGCAAAGAAUGGACACUAGUGGUUCCCCCUUAAUGUGAGAUAUGUGUUUGCUGGUUUUCACUAUAAUGGACAGCAAGAGUACUAGGUUUCGUCACGCCUCUCCCACACCUGAAAGCUGCCACCUAAAAUCCUUUGUGUAUGUAGGAAUCUCAUGGCGACCUAAUACAUGUAUGGAAUACAGGCCGGAUUGUAGUCGAGUGGAUAAGUGGAGAGUAUGAUUAGGCUCCCAUAGUCCAAAAUAUCAGACACUGAGGGAGAUUUGUUUACACUCCUGUUGCAUGUAUCAGUCUUUUCUUGUUCAUUAAGUACCUGUUUUCGGCUUAGUCCUUGUUUUCUCCGUUUCUCAAAUGAAAUGCCUCUCUGCUACAUUGAAUAGCAUCUAGAAGUAAGGGAAAAGCAGUACAACAUGAAGGCUUAUCUUGACUUCUUCACUGUAAGUCUAAAGUUCAUCCAAUAAUUAUGUUGAUGUCUUCAUUUGAUUUUAUCUAAAACAUCAAAUUGUUGGAGCAAAUUCUGAUUGUGCAUGUACAUGUUAAAUUUUAUUUCAGGAGCCCACUGCUACAAUGCCUGCAGUUUCCAAUGUAUUGGUGUAAGUUGCCCAAACCGCCACUUACUAUCGCGCAAAUCCUCUAGAGCAUGUUCAGUACACAAUAAUGUGCCAUUUUAACUUUUCUUUAUUAGUAGAACUCGAUACUCAGCAGCCCACCACAUAGAACAAGUCAAUAGAGAAUGCGAUUGGAGGAUAAAAUAGAUUGGAUAUUGACUUCUUUUCCUUUUUAAUAUUGAAUAGUACAUUGCAGCCCCUUAACAAAACAAACCAUUAGAGCACAUUUGGAAAAUUAGUAUUGGACAAAGCUACACGCGACAACAAUCAAGAUUUUACACUUCUCUUUCUUUCUAAUAUUUUCGAGUAUUGUGCAGUUUGUCUUACCAAACAAACCAUUUUAAUGUUAUAUUUGUGACAAUAGGCCAUUUCAGAACUUAAUAUUUUGACUGUUUAGAUACAUAGCAUCUGCAGACAAGAAGCUCAACAAGAACUACUUGGGACCUGCUUCAUUUGAAGAAAUUGCAGAGUAUGUAUUUUAUUUCUCUGAGACUCAUUUUGCAUUUUGUACAAGAUGUUCUGUAAUCCUCUUUCAAAAGUAAUUUGGAUGUCAGCUCCAAUUAUCAUAGAAGAUGUUCUACUAAGCUUAAAAGAAAGUUAAACUAACUUUCGAGCGAAUUUUCAUUACAAACUUGUUUAAUUACUUCACUUUUUCUUAAAAGUUGAAAAAGUUACUCUAUAAAGUAGGGGUUACUUUCAAAAUAAAUAAAUUAUUUCCAACUUCCACGGUAGAAAAAUAAUAUAUUUUGAAAAUUGCUUAUUUACAUAUAAGUUACUUAUAAGUAAUUUUUUUAAGCUUAGACAAACAUCCACCCGUUCACCUCUCUAAUUCUUAAGUCAUGGACAAAACGAACAUCAAAUAGUAUUAUUACAUUUUUCUCUAUAUAUUUUGAGAUAACAUUCUAUCUAUCAUUACGUUUUCAAAUAGGCAUUUCACGUGGUUGAAAACAAUCAUAUUUUGAUUCAUUUUUUUGUAAAAUGUAUAUGCUUCAAGAUGAACAUUUAGGCACUAUAUCCAUCACGAAAAAUCCAUGCAAACUAUGUAAAACGUAAUAAUCAUACUUAUCUUGAUUUUUGCAGUCAGAUUGGUCACGCAGAUGGCCCCUCAGGACCAAACAGAGAUUAUCUUUUUAAACUUGAAACUGCACUUAUUCAAAUAGGUGAAGUCAUAUAAGUUCCUUCUUAAUAUGACAAAACUUGUACCGACUACCUUCUCAUUUCCUUCUCUGUCUGUCAUUACAAGCAUGUUUGGUACAUUGGAUUGGAAUGCAUUUGAGACUAUACUAAGUGAAUUGUGCCUGACCCUUUAUUUUCUUUUCUAGUCCAGGGAAGGGAGGGGAGAGGAUGAAGUUUGGGGUGGGGUGGGGUCGAUCGAGUGGAACCAGUGGGGUGUUUGCAGGUUGGGCUAGGCAAGAAAGAUGACUAUUUUUUUUCCCCUACUUGUAUGCAUGUAUUCUUAAUCGAAGGGUAUAAUUGUCUUUUCGUGGCAACUGAACAAAUACUUGGACGAACCCAUUAGCAUCGACCAUGAGACAAGUGCUUGGGAGUGGAAGGUUGGGGACACGAAUAUCAGAAAAACAAAGGUUUAAGACUGAAGUGCAAAACGGUUUGAAGGUUAAGAACGACGUUUGGAACACUAAGUAUAAUUUGUCACCUAUCUCUGGUCUGUGAUCAUGUUGAGUCUUGUCCAAUCUAUCGACGUACCCAUACGCUUGGCGCAUUUUACAAGGUAGAUUGUAUGGUAAGAGACUAAGUGUGUGUUUGAGCCAUAUUAUUUUAAAGGAAUGCACUUUAAAAAGGUAGGUUGAUAGACAAUGUAUAGUUAAAAAAUAAGGAAAGUUUUUGGAUUUGCGUGUAAUAAUAUUUUAUUGAAGAAUGUGUAGUUGAAAUGAUGUCAAAUCACUGAUUAAAAAUGUAUUUUUUUUGAAAAAAUGCGGCUCAAACAUGGCUUAAAUAUUGUGUCUCAUUCUAUCUGAUCUUAUAUGGUGCUACCUCCAAAACAAGACGUGUACUUUUGCUUAUCGUAUUUCAUUAUUUACACUCUGCUCAAUCAAUUUUACUGUCCAGGAUGUGAAGACGAACAUGUCAAUGAUCUUGCCGACGAAGUGAGGCGUAUAGUGUUAAAAAGAGGGACUGACCACUUGAUGAAGACUGGGGUUCACUGAGCAUCGCAUGGACAUUGUUUUGGUAAUUCUUUAAAGCCACAAUGAAGCUUAUUCGAAGCUCAGGCUAUUGAGAUAAUGAAAUAUAAAUUGACUUCGCUUUAUACUGUUUCUGCUUAUUUUCAUGCACGACUAAGUGUAAAUGUUAUGUACUAAUGAAGAAGUUGUGAAUGCGUGACUAAUAUGAUCCACGCUUUUAUUACUUCUUUUAUCAGAACUUGUAUGUCUUUUGCAUUAACGUUUGAUGUUAUUUUAAAUAUUAUUGUUUUCGUUAGAAUGUAUGGUUGAAAAUGAUCUUUAAAAAAUCUUUUCCAAACAAACCAUCAAUAAUAUAAGUUAAUAAACUCGGCAAUUGAAAAACUCUUAACCCAUGAUUAUUCAUUGUCAAUUCUAAGCUAUAAUUUCUUUAAUGUAUUGGCUUAAUUUGCUGCUAAGCAAUUAUACUAUACCUUGAACACAUUUGUUACAUCAUAGUAAAUAGGAUUGCACGAAGAAUAAAUAAAUUGUUACCUUAUUGUUUAUUUAAUGGCGUCCAUUAGAGAUCAAGGAAAGUCUUGUAAUAUGAAAUCUAUAAAGGUCACCAUCGUUUUUAUUUAUUAAAAAUGUUAAUAGGUGAGCGAAAAUUCCGUGUUUGGCUAAUGUUUGUAGUCAACACAUUUUGUGGGAUUCACAAGUAUAACAUACUUAUCCACAACUUAUUCCUAUUUAUUUAUAAUUUAUACAAUUUAUGAAUACUUCCCAAAAAUGCCACAUUCUAUAUGUCUUCUUGAACUAAAUAUGAUUAAGAAAUAUAAGUAAAUGAGAUGUUUGUUCAAUAAUUCUCUUUCAAUUAAAAAAAAAAAAAAGGUUGAUCGUAAACAAAGAAAAGAAACAUGUGAGACACUUAUCCAUUUACCUUUGACAUGUAAAUAGAACGUAUAUAAGUAUGAGAACAAGGUACAUGAGCUCUAUCGUACCCUAAUGUUCAAUUUAGUACCCGUUUGGCUCUCCAUUUUUUCAAAUUAAAAUGGGUGAAAUAAUAUUUUUUUAACAAUGAGUGGUUGAAAAAGAAAGAAAAGUUUUUUAUUUAAGUGUAAUAUUAUUUUAUAACAAAUUAUGUGAUUGAAAAUUUGGUAGAGAAAAAUAAAACUUAAUUUAAUAGGAGUUAAACGGGGCUUAAUGUGCGAAAACAAAUAGACAUAUUUGAACGAAAUUAAAUAUUAAAAGACAAUUGAAAUGUUUAAUCAAUUAAUGUCCAAUCUAUCAUAUAAAUGCAAGCCAACAAAUUUCAACGCCAUUAAUGAAAAGAGUACAUGAAAUGUUUAGUCAUGCAUGCUUCUCCAAUCUUACAUGCAAUUUUUUAUUUUUAUUUUUCAUGCCCAUGAGAGUGAUAUAAACUUAACAUGUUAUCAAACCUUAAACUUCACAUCCACGAAUCUUGUAGACUAGAGUGAUCAUGUUGAUGAUGGGAUAAGAAUCAGAUUAUCAUCAUACACUGUAAAACAACUAUGAUUUCUGAAAAUCUUAGUUAUUGUCAGUACUUGUAUACUACAACAUGUGUUGCUCUGAUUACCUCUAUGGUGACUUUUCUAGCUCUAAUGUCCUUUCUGACGAAAUUAUGGCAAUUAUAAUACCUGAAAAUCUGAAUCAUCAUCAACACUUUGAAAAUACAGAUUAAAAUAUUUCGGCUACCCAAGCUCAAAUUUCUCCUCCAUUAAGCCUAACCUGAGAAUUCAAACAUAUCGCAAAACAAGUCCAUCCUAUAAAAAAAAGAUAGAUAAAUAAAUAAAUAUAUUACAACGUUGGGAAUCAAACAAGGACUUAAUAUUUCAUACUAAACGUGCUUCAGUCUCUCGAGCACAAGACAAAAUACAAGGAGCUCUAUAAUUCAAAUAGUUUUUUGUACAAAGAUUUUUUGUAAAAAUAAUUAAAUGAUAUCAAAUAUAUUGAGAAUAAAAUUUAUUUUUGUAUUGUUGUUUGAUUAAGAAUUAUCUCAGCUUUGACAUCUAGAGCAUGAGUAGGAACAUCACUUCACUAUAACUCUAUAAGAAUCAACUUAUUCCAUGUGCUGUUGGUGAGGAAUCUGUGCGGAUACUGUAACUAAGGCAUUAAUCAUGUUUAGCCAAGUUAACUUGAAAAGUAAAAAUUACUUUAUAGUAAUAAAUUUUUUAUCAAAAAUAUUAAGGGGAGUGUAUUUAAUCGAGACUUUUAAAGACUUUUAGAGAUUUAAAAAGUUUGGGUGUAUUCAAUUGAAACUUUUAGAGACUCUAUAAAAGUUUGGGUGUAUUCAAUAGAGAUUUUUAUAGACUUUUAAAAAGUCUCCAGAAGUUACGGGGUAUUCAAUUGAAACUUUUUAGAAGUCUCUACAAGUUUUGGGGUAUUCAAUUUAGAGAGACUUUCAGGGAAUUUAAAAUUUCUUGGACUUUCAGAGACUUUUUAAUAGAAAAUAUAAAUAGGAUUUUUCUCCCAAAAUCUCCCAUCGAUAGAGAAAUUUCUAAAAAGAGUAUGCUAUUCUUAUUUCUCUCUAGGUUUUUCCUCUAUCUCUUCCAAUUAGGUAUUUCUUUGAAUCUUUGCUAUGAGUUUUCUUCAAAUCAGGUUACGGUAAAUUUUCACUAGUUGAUCUCUAUCUCUCCCUCUAAUUUCAAAGAUUCGUUUUUAAGUGAAUGUUGUGAAUUCUCAUAAAUAUUCCUCGAUAUCUCACAUUUAACACUGUGAAAAGCAUAUUUCCUUAAAAAAAAAAAAAAUCCUCAAAAGUCUUUAGUAAAAGUCUCCACAAAUCCAGGAAAAACUUUUACUAAUUCCUACCAAAUCCAUAAAAAUUAUUCACAAAGUCAACAAAAGUCACCCACUUAAAAAAGUCUCCAAAAGUUUUUAAAAAUCCCAAUUGAAUACACCCCCCUAAGAGUACAAUUCUAUUUAAUAAUAUUUUGCUGCUGCCAUAUUCAUUAUUAUGGGGGAAUAAUUAUAUGCCUAACAAUAUUUUACGAUCUCCAUAAAAUAAAAUCAGUAAGAGAAUUUCUUAAAUUCUUUAUGUCAAUUCAUUUCCUUUUUCUUUUACAAUAAAAUAUUAAUUUACUUAACAAAUGUUGGAUAAAUCUUCUUUUAUUCUUCUCUUUCCUCCAUUAUUCUAAAAAUAUUAUACUUUCUCAAAAUUUGUGUGUUUUGUGACAUUUCUAUGCAUCUUAUUGAGUACAAUUGCUUGCUAAAAAUCAAUAUAUUUGGUAAAGUAUGUGGGACAUACUUAAUAUAUAGUAUUAAAAAAUAACAAAAUUAAAACAUUUAUUUAUUAUAUUGUUCAGUCUCCUCUAGUUAUAUGUACGAGACAUGCGCCUAAUCUCUUAUAGUAUUACUAUAUCAUAUAAUCGACAUUUUUUUUUUGAAUUGUAUGGGGCGUUUUCUUAAGUGAAACUUAAAGAAUAUAGAAUAAUAUAGUUUGUAUGAAGUGGGGAUCAUCCACAUCAAUAUUAUUUGAGUUUUAAGUAUUUGAAAUUUUGUAUAUUUAGAAUACGAAAUUAUCAAUAAAGUCCUUUUCAAAGAUUCCUUUACGGAUAAUUGCAGUAGAAGCUCCAAAUUUUUGAAAUACUAUUAGAAAUUCCCCACACCUUUGUUUAUUGCAGUCGUCACCCCCAAUAAUUUCAAACGUUGCAUGGGAGGCCCUUAUGGACGAUUUCCAUCGGUUGAUUAAAAAAUGAUUUUGAACGCAUUUUAACAAUUUUUAAAGGGACGGAAUUAUAACUUUACAUUAAAACAAAAAAUCAAAAUAUAAAAUUGGUUUUCUUCUUCCCUAACCCACCCCAAAUCCACCCCCACCCCACAGUUGGAUUUGGAAAAUUGAAGCACUAAAACCAACCCACAAAUGUAGCCCUCCUUUUAGAGUUGAUCCCUCAAAUUUUUCAGAUAAUAGUGGGGGUGGGGGUGGGGGUGGGCAUUGGUUGGGAAAGAAGAAGAUCAAUUUUAUUUAUUGAUUUUUGAUUUUAAUGUAAAGUUACCAUUCUCACUCUUUAAAAUUGUUAAAAUGUGGUCAAAAUCAUUUUUUUGUUCAAUUGACGGAAUUUUGAAUGAAAACCGUCCAAAAGGAUCUAACAUGCAACAUUUGAAAAGGUUAAGGUGACUGUUGCAACAAAUUAAAGGUUUAGAGAAAGUUUGCUAGUGUUUCAAAAGUUUGAAACUUUUAUUACAAUUAUCCCAUUUCUUUAUGGAAAGGCUUUAAAGUGUGGUUAAGAAUUCCCCGUACACGUAACGAAAAAUUUAUCAAAAAUAAAAUUAAAUGAAAAAGAAAAGGAAGACACAUCCCUAGAAUUAUUAGUUGAGAAUUCUAUAUCGUCAAGGACCACUUUAUUAAAAUCUUUUCUUUUAGAGAAGAUGAUAUGAAAGUGAGUGGAGAAAGAUGGAAAAAAUCGUUAUAAAUUUGUACAAAUACAUUAAUUCCCACAAAAAAAAAAAAAAAAAUAAUAGUGCUAGCGAUGAGGGAAAUGAUUAAUUGGUUCGUAGUAAUUAAAAACUCAAUAGUCUUUGUAAUGUAAUUAUUGACCUCGUUGUUAUGUAAUAUUAAACUUCUAUUGAAUGCAAAUAAUUUGUGUAUACUUUGGAUUUAUGUGUAAGGACAAGAUAACCAUUGGCCUUUGCUACUACUAUUUGAUUUAUUUAUUAAAAAAAAUAAAAAUCCGAUCAAAGAUAAUUAGUCAUGUACCUAAUAAACAAGAUAAAUAUGCAUGGCAUUUUCAAGAAAAGUGUCCACUCGUCAUCCCACAAUCCUACAUGUAUCACAUAGCACUAAACCCUAAUAAAUACUUGGUGGUCAUUCUAUAUGUCUUCUUGAACUAAAUAUGAUUAAGAAAUAUAAGUAAAUGAGGCGAUUCUCUUUCAAUUAAAAAAAAAAAAAAAAAUUUGAACGUAAACAAAGAAAAGAAACAUGCGAGACACUUAUCCAUUUACCUUUGACAUGUAAAUAGAACGUAUAUAAUUAUGAGAACGAGGUACACGAGCCCUAUCAUACCCCCAAUGUUCAAUUUAGCACCCGUUCCCCCUCCCCCUCCAUUUUUUCAAAUUAAAAUUAGUGGAAUAGUAUUUUUUUUAAUAAAAAAAUGAGUGGUUGAAAAAAAAAAAAAAAAAAAAAAAGUUUUUUUUUUAAGUUUCUCAAAAUUUGUGUGUUUUGUAACAUUUCUAUGCAUCUUAUUGAGUACAAUUGCUUGCUAAAAAUCAGUAUAUUUGCUAAAAAUGUAGCCCUCCUUUCAGAGUUGAUCCCUCGGAAUUUCCAAAUCAUAGUGGGGUGGGGGUGGAUUAGGGAAGAGGAAGACCAAUUUUGUUUUUUGAUUUUAAUGUAAAGUCACCAUUCUACCUCUUUAAAAUUGUUAAAAUGGGGUCAAAAUCUUUUUUUUUUUCGUCAAUUGACGGAAUUUUGAAUGAAAACUGUCCAAAAAAAUUUCACAUGCAACGUUUGGAAGGGUUAGGGUGACGAUUGCAAUAAAUCAAAGGUUUAGAGAAAGUUUACUAGUGUUUCAAAACUUUGAAACUUUUGCUACAAUUAUCUCAUUUCUUUAUGAAAGGGCUUUAAAGUGUGGUUAAGAAUUCCCUGUACACGUAACCAAAAAAUUAUCAAAAAUAAAAACUAAAUGAAAAAAGAAAAAGAAAAAGAAGGCACAUCCCUUGAAUUAUUAGUUAAGAAUUCUAUAUCGUCAAGGACCACUUUAUUAAAAUCUUUUCUUUUAGAGAAAAUGAUAUGAACGUGAGUGGAGAAAGAUGGAAAAAUCGUUAUAAAUUUGUACAAAUAUAUUAACUCCCACCAAAAAAAAAAAAAUAGUGCUAGCGAUGAGGGAAAUGAUUAAUUGAUACGCAGUAAUUAAAAACUCAAUAGUCUUUGUAAUGUAAUUAUUGACCUCGUUAUUAUGUAAUAUUAAACUUCUAUUGAAUGCAAAUAAUUUAUGUAUACUUUGGAUUUAUGCGUAAGGACAAGAUAACUAUUGGCCUUUGCUACUACUAUUUGAUUUAUUUAUUAAAAAAAAUACAAAUCCAAUCAAAGAAAAUUUAGUCACGUACCUAAUAAACAAGAUAAACAUGCAUUGCAUUUUCAAGAAGAGUGUCCACUCAUCAUCCCAUAGUCCUACAUGUAUCACAUAGCACUAAACCCUAAUAAAUAUUUGGUGGUCAUUUUGCAAAAUAUAAUAAAAAUAAUUUAAUUAUGGAUGGUUCAACAUAGUAUAAAAGCAAUAAAAAAUUUGAACUCAAGUCACAUGGGCUAUAUAGGAAAAUUGUGCACAUAUAUAUUCAAUUAAAAAAAAAAAAGAGCACGACCACGCGUAUGCACUGUUCUAAAAGUCACGUAGUAGUGGCGCCUAAGCGUCACCAAUGCGCAGCAGAGACGCCAAGUCAAGUGGCUUGGCGCCUUAUUUAGUGGUCAACAGCAAUCGUAGACCGCUAAUGCGUGCAUAGACACGGUUAAUCAAGCCUAGGCAAGCAUAACUAUCUUUUAUUUUAAAUUUUUUAAUUUUACAAUUCUUUUAAAUUAAAACUAAAAAGUUGAUUUCUUUAAUUCAUCAGUUCUAAAUUCAAAAUGGUCACUUGAAGUGUAAAACAAAGAAAAUCUCCCAAAAACUCCUAUUUAUUUACUAUUUAAUAUUUACAUUUGGAAAUUAUCUUUUUAUUGAAAACUUUGGAAAAAUGUAUAAAUUUCUUAUAAAUUUGUUUUAAAUGUUUGGUAGAUAUUAUUUUUAAUUAUCAAACGAUUUUUCCAUUGAUUAAAAAUUAAAAUAAUUUUAAAAUAUGAAAACGUCUUUUUAUGUUUUUUUACGCCUAUGCCUCGCCUAAGCUCCCCUAACCCAUAACUUGGCCUCCACGUAUCAUUACGCAUUACGUUUUUUAGAACACUGUGCGUAUAUGAGAGGACAUGUUUAGAAUUAAUUUCAAAAUAAAUAAUUUUACUGCAUUUAAUAGUUUAAUUUUUUAGAUGAAAUAGUUAACCAAUAACAAAUUAAACUUGGAAAAAUAUUUAACAUGUGGUGGAGAUUCAUGUUAAACUAUUUAUCUUUCUUUUAGGAUUAUUUUAAUUAGUGGAAAGAUUCUAGUUUCUUGAAUUUGAUUCCUAGAGGGGAAUAGAGUUAGUGCGCCAAUUUACAAGAAUUAUUCGAUCUUUUUCGCUUUUGAUUUGUGUAUAAAAGCCCAAAACUUCUCAUUUUUGUAUGUCCCAGGCAUUUACAAUUGUGCAUAGAAAAAUUUGAGACUGAGAAUGGGAGAGCAAUCCAUAUGGGGGAUUACAAGUAUGGCCUUCAAUAAGAUGAAGCCCUAUUUGGCCAUGGUGUCUCUACAAUUCGGCUAUGCCGGAAUGUACAUUAUCACAAUGCUUUCCUUCAAGCGUGGGUUCAGUCACUGGAUUCUAGUCGUGUACCGCCAUGCAGUUGCCACGAUGGUUUUUGCGCCUUUUGCAUUUUUCCUCGAAAGGUUAGUACAUCAUUCAUAUACAUGUGCAUAAGUGCAUGUAUGCCACGCAUGUUAGUUUUAUUUCUCCUUAUAAUAUAAAUUCAUUUUUCUCGCUGUGUGUGUGUGUGUAACAAUGCUAUUUGCAUGUUAAUUUGCAGGAAAAUAAGGCCUAAGCUAACACUAUCAGUCUUUUUGAAGAUAAUGCUGCUUGCUUUCCUGGAGUAAUCUUCUUGAUCAUUUCACUUAUUUACUACAAUAUAUUGCUUUUCUGCGCCAUCUUACAAGAUUUUCAUCUAAUAGUAUAGUUCAGUCGACCUUAUCUGCAUUAAAUAAACCCGAUUAGGCUGUAUAUGCCCAAAAUUUGAACUUAUCUAUCAUUUUUGUAUUAUCAUCAGGCCUGUCCUGGAUCAAAACUUGUAUUAUGUUGGAAUGAAGUAUACAUCAGCAACUUUUACAGCAGCAACUGUCAACAUUCUCCCAGGCAUCACCUUCAUAAUGGCUGUUAUUUUCAGGUAUAUCUUUACUUUCCCAGAUUCAUUAACAAAACUUUGUAUUAUACUAGUUUGACGGGGUUCAAAGGUGAAAAGAGAGUUAGAUCGAUGUGCACGGCAUAACUUUCCCAUUUUUUUUUUUGUGUAUUUAUUCUUAGUUGAGUUUGAGACGACAUCAACCAAAAUAUACUAAUUAAAAAAUGGGAAAAUUGUAGCAGCGGUUCCAAAUCUUUUCAAUUUUUGAAGACUUUACCAUAACUUUCAAUUUGUGUCAACAAAGAUCCCUAACCUUUCAGAAAUAUGCACCUAAGGUCCAAAUUAAUGGAAACUCAUCCAUAUGAACUUUAGCUGACCAAUAAAAUUGAACUUUGAACAAUUUUGACUAAUUUAAAAGGGUAAAAGUGUAACUUUGCUAUUUAACUCUAUAAAAAAAUUAAAAUAAAUAAUCAAAAAAAAAAUAAAAAUAAAAAAGGAAAAAUACUAUUCUUCUCACACCCUUAGCCUCCCAAAUCCACUACCCAAGCAGCCUCUUCAUUAGAAUUUUUACUUCUCCAACACAAAGAAUUUCCCACCUGAACCUUAUUUCCCUCACAAUACAAAUACCCAUCUUCAGAUUUCGUGAAACAAUGCUCGAGGUUCUGGGUUUGGAGCUCAACGAGGGAUAGAAUUGCUCGUAUGCACAAAGAGGCGAUUUUUGAAGUAGGCUUGAGUUUGAAGGUUGAAAUGGGUUUUAUGGGAAACCAAGUAAAUGAGGAUUUCGGGGAUUUUAUGGAAAGGAUUGUUGGGGUUUGAGAGAGGAGGUUUAUAGCCGCCAUUGUUAGGAGAAAGUGAAGAAAAUGCAACCGUUUACACAAAGAAAGAUGAUUUUUUGGUUUUUGUUUACGGUGGUGGCUGGAGAUGGCCGAAAGUAGCAGAUGGUCGGCAAGUUGUUUCUAGACUUUGGUUCUUUUUUUUUUUUUUGUAGGUGGGGGGAGGUAGGUGAGAUGUGUAAGAAGAUGAUAUUUAAUUUUUAUCUUUUCUCUCUUUUUAUUUUGUUCUGUUUUAUUUUAUUUCUGGGUUUUCCAUUAUUUUAUGUAUAUAAUAGCAAAGUUAUGAUUUUAUCCAUUUUAAUUUGAUCAAAAUUAGUCAAACUCCACUUUUGUUGGUUCAACUAACGGUCAAAUGGACAACAUUUGGAUCCCAAGUGCAUAUUUCUGAAAGUUAAGAACAUUCGUUGGCACAAAUCGAAGGUUAUGGUAAAAUCUGCAAAAAUUGAAAAGGUUUGGGAUCAUUGCUACAAUUUCCCCUUAAAAAAUUUAGAAGUGUCAAAAUAGGCAGAUCGACCCAAGCCAGGUUCAUCUGUAAAAAUUCCAAGCUGAUAACCAGUCUAGACUUGGCCCCUGAUGACAUGUUGCCCAUGUAGACAUUUUUAUCAAAAAAAAAAAAAUAAUAAUAAUAAUAAAUAAAUAAAUAAUAAUCAUUUUUAUUUUACUUUUACUAAAAUCCUUUUGAAAAAUGUGGGACCAAGCCUCUAAGACAAGCCAUCUGGAUCCAACCUACUCGUUUCGACACCUCAAGAAAAUCAUAUUAUCAUUUCUUCAAAACUAUUUAUUGCCUCUAUGUGGGUUUUAUUUUCAUUUGUAACUAAAAAGUUACUUUUAAAGGAUCCACGAUAUUAUACACAUAUCGACCACUCAUUUCUCGAAAAAUAAAAGAAACCCGAACAUAAGCAUAUUAAAAUUUUGUGCUUUUCUAAAUAAAUUUUAAUCUGAUCACAUGUACUUCAUAUUUACAGGUUGGAGAAGGUUAACUUAAAACAGAUACACAGUCUAGCAAAGGUCAUUGGAACUGGAAUAACACUCUUAGGUGCAAUGCUCAUGACAUUCUACAAAGGCCCUGUAGUUGAUAUUCUUCCCCACUCACUCGGCAGAAGCCACCAUGAAACCGCUAGCAUCGUUGGCUCAACCGAUCAACACUGGAUCACUGGCACAAUUAUGUUGCUUUCUUGUAUUGUGGGUUGGUCUGGUUUCUUUAUAGUUCAAGUAAGUUCUAUGUCCAUCCAGAUAGGAUUAGACAAGAUCAUUACAAAAUUAUAUCUAGUCCUAUCUAAUCGAGCUUAACAAAUAUGUCAUUUACGUACACUCAAAUUUAUUGAAAUUUUUUCUUUUAGUUUUAAUUAAAGUUAAAUAUUGAUAUGGUUUGGAUAGAAUAAGACACUGAAGGAAUAUCCUGCAGAGCUCUCUCUUACAUCAUUAGUUUGUUUCAUGGGAAUGGUGGAAGGUGGAGUUGUGGCUAUAAUAAUGGAACACCAUACCAAUGCCUGGGCAAUUGGCUUUGACUCAAGACUUUUGGCUGCUGUAUAUUCUGUGAGUAAAUUUCAAUAAUUAGGACGAAAAGCAAUUUAUAUAUUCUCUUAAUGACAUGUUUGGUAUAGGAUUAUAUAUGAUAACGCUGGACAAUACACUAUUUUGGCUUUAUUCCCUUUUGCAUAGUGUUGAUCAAUUACUGCAGCGACUAAAGAGGACGUAGUCUCAAAUCAAAGGGAACAUAAAUCUUGUGUGAUCUCGUUUGCAUUUUCUUCUAUGAAUUUUUGUUCUUGGUGGCAGAAUUAGAGUUUUUAAUUCUCAACAAGCAUUCAACUUUAUCAAACACACGACAGGCGUAUUGAGAAUAAAACUUUGUAACACAUUGAGAGAAUAGAGCUAGACUAGGUGAAAAAAACCCUAAAACGGUCACGAAGUAUGUACACUUUGCUCGGGAGCAUUCCCUAACAAAGCAUUGUAUAUUUUCAAGGAAUGCGAACAUUGAAACACUUUGUCUAAUUAAGUCAUAGUUUCAUGUCAAGAAUCAUAUCAUAAUAUGUGACAAAAUUUUAUGUUGACUAUCAACCUAUCGUAAUUCCUUCUUUAUAAGAUAUUGUAUCUAAAUAUAUGUACUUCAUUGCAGGGGAUUAUUUGCUCAGGAAUUGCAUAUUAUCUGCAAAGUGUUGUCAACAAGGCACGAGGUCCAGUGUUUGUGACUGCAUUCAGUCCUCUAAGCAUGAUAAUCACAGCUAUUUUGGGAGCCAUGGUUUUGGCUGAGCAAAUUCACAUUGGAAGGUAACUUUCGUGCUUGUAAUUUUGUUGAACAAGCCAAUUACUUUUAUUAUAUGAAGUUUUUUCGACAGGUAAAAUUUGUUUCAAAAACUUUAUACAGCGGCUAGCAGUCGUUCAUUGCCCUCGCCGUGUCCCGUGUUGCCCAAUCCCAUAAGGGUUGGGAUUCCCCAGUUAGUCGGUGUUUGGGUUGGGUACGGGAAAAAUAGUCCUGUCCCGAAUCUUAUUCUUUAUUUCAUUAUAUACAAUAUAUUUAUGUUUUUAAAUUAAAAUCUUUAAGUUAAAAAAAAAAUAGUUAGCAAAAAAUAUGAAUAUUUUAAUCUUGAUCAUGCCUCCUACCAAAUGCAAAGGAGAUGGUGACAAGGAGGGCUUCCUCGUCCCUGCCAGGCCCAUCUCUUUUGCAAUCCCCACUCGCGGAAACACACACCAAACAAGUUGUACCUAAUGCACACUUCAUCGGCAUACAUCGCACUUGUUAAUUUAGCGUGAGAAUUUUUAUCAAUUAUGAUCGUCGCUUAUAUUUCUUGAUACAUAAUUGUUCGAUUAUUAGUAGUUAAAAAUGUGUGUAUAUUUGUACUUGCAGCUUAAUAGGAGCAAUUAUCAUUGUAUUUGGACUCUACUCAGUUGUAUGGGGUAAGAGUAAAGAGAAUUCAAACUCGGACGAAUUAGUGUACGAGGAAAACAAAUCCCAUGAUGAAUUGCCAAUGGUGUACAAGAAAACAUCAAACAUUCUUGACAAUGCUGCAACUGAUACCAAUGUGAAACCAGAUGUACGUGAGAAGAAUUCCUUAAAUCAAGAGCCAUGAUCAUCCCGUCCCAACCUAGCCUAGCCCAUGUUGUUUUUACAUUUUGAGCCCAUGUUGUAUUUAUACCCAUAAAGGCAGAGUAAUUAUGUCAUAUAUUACUGACAUUUUAGCAUUGUCAAUUGGAAAUCAAAUGGGUUUUAGGGAUUAAAGAUCUUGGAGAAGUCAUAUAUCAAGUAUCAAUACUAAUGAAGCAAGUGAAAUUUGACAGAUAAAUGUUACAAAUCCACUGCGCAAACUACAUACCGAAACUUGUGUUGUAUCCUUGUGUGACCUUGGAUAUACAUGUCUUUAUACAUUUUACUUUAAUUGAAAGCGGUGUCUUGCAAUUUGAAUUGAAACUUGUUUUCGUGAGGAUUGUGUCGCGGUUUGACGAAGAUUUGGAAGUUUCCGCCAUUGUAGAUUAUAACUAUAAUGAAAAAUUUAGCUCCUAUUUGUUUUGGAUAAAAAUUAAAAUUUUCGUAUAUUUUGAUAAAAUUUGAUGAAAUAUUUAGUUAAAUGUUGAUAAGGUAUUGGAUCUCAUAAAAAUUUGUGAUUGAAAAUGAAUUUUAAAAAAUAAUAAUAAUGAUUGAACAGGGUUAAAAACACGAAAAGUGUGGACAGAGUGAGUUGGCAGCAUUUGGUUGGAUUUAUUUUUAGAAAAUUUUCAAACCAUUCAUUCAUGCUUCUCUUUAAGGAUUAGGGGUCAAACAUGGUCUUAACUCUUGAGGGUUUAGGAAUGUCAAAGAUGAAAAAUGUUUUCGAUUAAUUUCAAUUGUCAAACAUCUUUGUCUUUAAAAUGAGUAUAUAUGGGAUCAUAUUCAAUCCCUGUUAUAUGAAAAAUUUUGAAAUUAGAAAUUUAAAUGGACCAAAAUGUCCAUAAUUGAAGAUAACAAAUCACGUGAUUUAUAAUACAUUUUGUAACACUUAUCAAUUUUUUUUUAGCGUUUUUAUUCUCCUAAAGUUCAAUUAUUAUUUCAUUUUCAUCUAAUUAACAUUAUUUUAAAUCUUUUUCAUUCACAUGUCCUACGUAAAUUAACGUGCAGUCUAGUGUUUCACAUAAUUUUCUUCCAUUCGCAUUAUUUACUUUAAAAUUUGUUAGGAAUGCAUGUCUAAUUUUAUUAGUUUGAUGAUUAUGCACUUGUUUGAUAAAGAUUUUUAGAGAAGUAAUUAUUUGAAACUAUCUUCUCUAUGAAUGUGUGAUUAAAAAUUAGGAAAGUUAUGAGGAAAUGGGAAAAAUAAUAUUUGGGAAGAUUGUAUGAUUGAAAACAAGUAGGGAAGAAAAAUUAUUCUCAAAAAAUCAAAACCGAACUAAGGCCCCUUUCGUGAGAAAGCUUCAUAGAAGAGAAUAAUGUAUAUAUACAUAUGAUUAAUGAGUAUUUCCUAUAUUUUACAAUAUUUUCUAACUUAGUAAAAUUAUCUUUAGUGAUUUGAUGUUAGAGUUGAAGAAAGGAAAAUAAUAAAUUUUAUAGUUCUCUCUCUCUCACUCACACACACACACACACACAAAAAUCAUCCAAAAAAACAUUGAAAAAUCAGUACUCGGAAAGUGGUAUGCAAAACAUUAAAUUGAUGCUGGUGUAAAUCUUGACAUUUCUCGUAAUGCUUUAUAAGUAUGAAAGUAGUUUGUUGGAAGAUUUCGGCAAUUAAAAAUUGAAGUCUUCGAUGAAAGGGAUCUAGGAAGAGUCACAUGUCGAGUAUCAAUAAUAUUGAAGCAAGUGAAAAUUUACACGUGUUACAAAAUUGUGGAAGUGUGUACAAAAGAUGGUACUAUAAAAAUGGAAAAUUUGCAGUAUUAAUAAUGCUGUUUAAACUUUAAAUAACGAGUUUUGAAAACAAAAAAAAUAAAAAUAAAAAUUGGGUAUCAACAUUAUAUUAUAAUUGCAAGACUAAUCAGUCAUAAAUUAGGAAACUUAUAAAUUUUUAUUAACUCUUUUGUGACCUCAAAUAUUCAUGAAGCUAAAUUUUACUUCUCUUAUUAUAUUGGUGCCUAAAAAUUUAAUUUUUGAUGUUUCUUUCACUCUCUUUUUCACGAAUGCCGAUCAUUGUGCUCAUGUGCCAUGUUGAUUCUCCAAUCUUGCCCAACUCUCAAUUGGAUUUUCAAACAAAGGGUCAUAUCUAACUCUCAAUAUCAAUUUGAUCAAGAUCAACUGCUUUUCGAGUCGGAUUAAUUGAUAUUUGUGUAGUUUUGGGAUUUUUUUUUCAUUUAAAUCAAAUAAAUUGGGAGUAAAAAAAGUAACAUUAAUAACAGAGUUUGUAAUGGUUUUUAAUUGUUAAAAAAACGAAUAUAUUAAUAAAUUUAAGUGAUUUAGAGAAGAGAGGGUGGGGGCAGAGGAGAAGCAUUGUAAAUAUAAAAAGUAAUAGUCAUCUGGAAUAAAAUAAAAAUUUGAAAAAAUAAUUUAUUAUUGUAAAAUAAUGAGAUAAUUAUUGAUGAUUAUUUGAUAUUAUCAUGAUAUAUAAAUAACUCUUAUUUAGUUUAAAAUAUCUAUUUCAUUCAAAUUGUAACUCUUAUUUUAGACCCAAUAAAUAUAUGAUAUUUGCUCUUAAUAAUACACAUUUGAGUUUCACUCUUAUAUUCUCUUAUUCUCUCUUUUCAUAAUACUUAUCUAUUUUUAAUAGGGAAAAUUGCAGCUGAGAUACCAAACCUUUCGUUUAUUAGCAGACUUUGUCCAAAUCUUUAGUUUGUGCCAUUGGAGAUAUCAAAUUUUUCAAAAAUCCGCAUCCGAAGUCCAAAUGGAUGGAAACCGUCCGUUUGAUCGUUAGUUGACCAAUAAAAUUAAACAUUGACCAGUUUUUGACUAAUUGAAAAGGGUAAAAAAGUAAAAGUUACUUAACCCUAUAAUAAAACAAUUAAAAUAAAUAACUAAAACAAAAAAACAAAAAAAAAUACUAUUCAUCUCCUUCUUCACCCUACCCCCCCCCCCACGCCAUCCAAACCAUACUGUAAACUGUAAAAUGUAAACUAUUCUCUUCCUCCUUCCAAAACACGAGUGAGUGCGUGUGAGUGAGAGAAGAUAGAGAUCAAAAGGAUGGCAGAAUUUGCUCCAUUCCAUUUCUAAUCCAACCCACCCUCUGCACAUCAUUUCUACCUAUACCACACUAUUUAAUCAAUUUGUCCAGUGAGUUCCCUUUUCAAUUUUACUUGGUGUUUUCAUCUAAUUUCAACAUAAAUUUACAUGACGAUUUGUGGGUUUGCAUAUAUACUUGCAUAUGUUGGUUUUAAAAAUUGAUUUUUCAGUUGUUUUUGUUUGUGCGUUUAGAGAUGGUGAAAAAAGAUGAAGCUAUGGAUGCUCUGAAGAGGGAGGCUAUGGAUUUGGUAAUCAACUCUUUUACUUCAUAGAUUUUCUCUGCAUUUUUUACUUUUGUGUUGGUUUUUCUGUUUUUUUGAAGAAAACUGGCAAAAAAGGGAAGAACAUGGUGUCUUGGUGGGGGUAGGGUGGGUGAAGAAGAAAAUGAAUAGUAUCUUUUUUAGUUUUAGUUAUUUAUUUUAAUUGUUUUAUUAUAGGGUUAAGUAAUUUUUACUUUUUUACCCUUUUCAAUUAGUCAAAAAUUGGUCAAUAUUUAAUUUUAUUGGUCAACUAACGGUCAAACGGACGGUUUCCAUCCAUUUGGACUUCGGGUGUAAAUUUUUGAAAGAUUUGGUACCUCCAGUGGCACAAACUAAAGGUUUGGGCAAAAUUUGCUAAUAAGCGAAAGGUUUAAUGUCUCGGCUGCAAUUUUCCCUUUUUAAUAUCUUAAAUAAAAGAUAUCAAUGAAAUAUUUUUUUGAUAUGUAAAUUUAUUAUUAUUAUUAUUAUUAUUAUUAUUAUUAUUAUUAUUAUUAUUAUUAUUAUUAUUAUUAUUAUUAUUAUUAUUUUAUUUUGCCAGGUGAUAUCAAUGAAAUAUUUCAUUUACUUAACCAAAAAAAUGGAAAACAAACAAAAGGACAAUCUUUCAUCGUGACGCCAAAUUUUCUUCGUCGACGAUGGCAAUUGAUGCUUUGUUGAUAAUCGUUGACAUUGUCUUACGUAUGUGCAUUCAAAUAAAAAUAAAUAAACAAAAGAAUAAAUUUUCAUCGAUGACACUAGAGUUUCUUCAUUAGCGAUGGUGGUCCCUGCACUAUCUAUAGUUGUCGAUAAUGUAUGAUGGAGGUGCAUUCAUAAUAAUCAAGAUUAUUGAUUUUUAUUAGAACUAUCGACAAUGACCAUCUAAUAUCACCAAUAAAAAAUCUAUCCAUGCUCAUUUACUACAUUUUUUUUGUAGUUAGUAAACUCGUUAAGCCUUGCCAAACACUACAAGGUUUUUUUUCUUUUUUUUAAUCGAAAAUUACGCGUAAUUUUCUUUUCUAGUGAUAUAAAAUAGAAAUAAAAAAAGUAAAUUAUUCUAUGGGAAUUAUAAAAAAUGUCACUUUUUUUGAUAAUGCACAAAAAAAAUUGCACGUGCACCUAAUUUUAUAAAAAAAUGUCACUUUUUUUGUGGGAAAUAUCCAACUUAUCCUUCAUGUCCCUUUGUUAGGAGCAUUUAAUGCUAGCUUUACAAUCCAAUUAAUGUUAUGAUUUGAUUAGUUAAAUUUAUAUACUAUAAUCAUUGGAUAUAUUAAAAUUAUAUAUUAUAAUCAUUAGAUAUAUGCAUAUUCUCCAUUUUUCAUGUUUCUAGCAAUUGAAAUUAAAUGAUUUAAAAUUUUAAAAAUUUGAUUUUGAAAAGAAUAUAAAUUUUAGGUCGAAAUUAAAAAAAAAAAAAGAAAAAAAAGUUAAAGGCAGUUAGCAGCUCUCACGCUCACAUCCGCUGUCUCGCCGCUGCUGAAUUGCAGCAGCAAAGGCGGUCUUUGCCGUAAGUGUCGACCAUUGUAUGCGCUGUAAAAUAAAAGAAAAAAAUUUUGUUGUCCAGAUUUUCAGCAGAUUUGGUGAUUGGAGAUGGGGGCCUGUUGUGUAAAUUCAUGAUUUGCAAGCCUCUGUUUAAAAGUUAAUAUAUAAGGUAUUUAAAUAAUUUAGAGGGUCAAAAAGUCUUAAAUUGAUAUUUUUGAUAGAAAUUUUAAAAGGUGACAUAUUUGAUAUUGCACAGCCAAAUUUUGACACCCAAUGAAAUUUCAUCAUUAUUCUAUUUGGAGAUACAAGUUACUUAAAGGUUAGUAUAUUUAGCCCUUGUUUGAGCAACAUUAUUUCCGUAAUAAUAUAUUUUUAAAUAGUGUAUUGAUAGGAAAUAUGUUGUUAAAAAUAAGAAAAUGUUUUAAAUUUGCGUGUAAUAUUAUUUUAUUGAAUAACUUGUGAUUAAAAUAAUGUCAAAUCAUUAUUUAAGGAUGUAUUUUUUAAAGAAUGUGGGGCAAAUUAUUUUAAAGCUUAGACCAUUUCCAGCGCUGCACCAAAUUUUUCACCAAACUAAAAUUCAUCUCCAACCAUUACACAAAAAAUUAUACUAAUUGAACAAUGUUUAACCAUUUUCUUCCAUUUUUUAUUCUUUAUAAUAUAUUUAUUUGAAAUAUUUUUUAUUUAAUUAUUUUAUAAAUACAUAAAUUAUUAAAUAAAUAAUUAGGUUAAAUUACGAAAAAGAUUAAAUUCAUUAAUAAAUCGUGUUUGUUAUAUUUUAAUUUUUUAAUUUUUUUAAUUAAUUUAUUAAUUAUUAUUUCUUAAUAAUAAUAAUUUAUUGUAUUAAAAAAUAGAUAGUACAAAGACACAAAUAUCCUUAAUCAAAUUAUUUGGAAAAGGAAAAUGAAGGUAAAAAUGACUUUAGACACUUUGCACUUGGUGCAAAGUGAACUUGUACAAUUUUGAUGUAAAAUUGUGCAAAAUAAAAUUUGAUGUUACAUUGGAGGUGUUUUACACCAUUUUUUUGGUGCAUUUCAAUGUUUUGAGGGUAAGCAUUGGAGAUGUCCAGCAAAACAUCCCAUCUGAUAUGGCACUUGAUGAUUGGGGAAAGCUACAAAACGGGGGAAACAUUGUACCAGCUUAACCCAAAAUGUUCCUAUCGUCCUCUGGCUCAUUCUCUUUCGACUACUCAUUUCCACACCCCUUCAUCUCACCUGGGGCAAUGAUUUUGGCUUCCAACUGAGUGAGAUAUUUUAUCUGUAAGUAAUAGAUAAAAAAAUGGCGAUGUGGGUUUUCGGAUACGGAUCUCUGAUCUGGAAAGCCGGCUUCCAUUUUGAUGAUCGCCUUGUCGGUUUCAUCAAAGACUACCGCCGUGUUUUCUAUCAAGGUUAGAAGAUAAUUCCCUCCUCGAGUAAUUUUUUUUUGUAAAAUAGAGUAUUGGGUUCAAUAUAUCGAGUUAGGAGUAGUCCAAGUCAUCAAACAGAUGGAAUUGCUCGUUAUAGCUUUUUUGACUCUGAUACUCUGCGUUGAUUCUUGGGUUCUAUCUUUAAAAAAAAGUAAUCUUGUUAAGAGGUCUUGUAGAUUUAAGCAUAAAUCAUAUAUUCAAUGGGCUGGAGUGGAUUUUUCUUGAUGAUGACAGUGUGAUUCUAUUACCAUUAUGUGUGCCUGCGGGGAUCGAGAUGAUGAAACUUUUUGUUGGGUUUGAGUUUAGGGAGCACUGAUCACAGAGGGACUCCAGAGUACCCGGGAAGAACAGUCACAUUGGAGCCUGCCGAGGGGGAGGUUUGCGUGAGUUCUUUUUGAACUAUCUCUCUUCUUUUCUUGUGUUAUCUGUAACGGCUUCUGCAUUUUAAAUUAAUGGUACAAUAAGAAAAAAUUUAUCAAUUUGGCCGUUCUUGGAUAUAUAAUGGAAUUGUAUGAAUAAUGAAACAGCUAAUCUGAAAUUUUUAAUUGGUAUUAGCAUAGUAUGUUGUUUAACUGGUACUCAAAUGGUAGUAAAGGACAUUCGAACAACUCACAAGAACACCAGAUGAUGCAGAUUACUGAACAACCAAGUUGAAGUAGCACAUAAGAGUUGAACUCUCACCUUGGAUCAGAAGGAUGGGGUUCGAUUUCUGAGAAGUGUGUUCAUGGAGUAUUUUGAAUUUAGAAACAUCGAGCACUUUUGACAUUUUAUGUGCGUGGGACUGGAUUUUGAGUUGUGAUUAGCUAAUAGCUAUUGCGAGCUUGUGAUCAGCAGUGAUUUUAAUUUCUGGACAUAUUUUAUGCAUGUGUGAUGUGUAUGUAUAUGUAAAUUGAGGUAGAAUGUCAUUUACAUAAAAUGUACUUAUGAGGGGGUCUCAUGGUCAUUUUUAGUAGCACUAUUAACUUGUGUUGGACCAUGUGUCUCUGUCCUAGUAAUAAGUAAUAUGCACAUGUUGAUCCUUGAUAAGAAGUCAAAGCACAAGAAAUUUUACUUAAAGGGGUGUAUUCAAUCGAGACUUUUAAAAACUUUUGGAGACUUAGAAAGUUUCCGUGUAUUCAAUUGAAACUUUUAGAGACUUUUAUAGAUUUUUAAAAAGUCUCUACAAGUCUCGUGGUAUUCAAUUGAAACUUUUUAGAAGUCUCUACAAAUUUGGGGGUAUUCAAUUGAAAAUGACUUUCAGGGAAUUUCUAAUUUAUGGGACUUUCAAAGACUUUUUGGUAGAAAAUACAAAUAAGAUUUCUCAAAACAAAUCUCUCAUCCAUCGAGAGAUUUCUCUCAACAUAGGGUUUUCUCCUCCAUCUCUUUCAAUCAGGUAUGAGUUUGACAGAACAUAAAUUUAUGACAGAACAUGAGGUUUGAUACUUUUCUGUUUGAUUCAGUAAACCUUUACCAUAUUUCUCUUCAAAUCUGGCCUCUUCUGUUGGAUUUUUUCUCCUCCAUCUUUUAUUUUUACCCCUUUUCCCUCAAUUCCUCGUUUGGCUUUUGGAAAUUUCAAGAAAAUCAAUCGCAUACUUUGUAGCAGCAUUCCCUUUGUCUCCACUGACACAACCCAUUAUGAGUUUUCUGAUGUUUCUUUUGAGGUGGAGUUGAGGUUGGAACUCGGGAAAGAAGGUGUAAGUCCUAAGGAGAUCUUUAUAGAUGCAAAUGAGAACUCUUUGGUAAUUAAGGUGCAGAACAGUGGAUAUCUUAGGACACUCCUGGAUACAAAUAAACUUUACGGGAUGAUAAAGCCUUCUGAAACAAUAUGGUAUAUAGACGAUGAUCAAUUGGUGGUUAAUUUGAAGAAACAAGACCCAGAACUAAAAUGGCCUGACAUCAUGGAGUCGUGGGAGUCCUUAACAGCGGGAGUUGCACAACUCUUGAGAGGAACAUCAAUCUAUUUAGCCGGGGAAUCAACUGAAAUAAACCACGAGAUUGCUCGAGAAUUAGCUGUUGGUCUUGGGUAUACACCACUCAAUACAAAGGAGAUUCUGGAAUCAUACAGCAAGGAAAUUAUUGAUUGGUGGGUGGCCUCACAUGGUUGUGAUGCUGUAGCAGAAGCAGAAACUGCUAUAUUAGAAAGCCUCAGUAGCCAUGCCCGAGCUGUUGUUUCGACAUUAGGUGGGAAGCAUGGUGCUGCUGAGAGGCCAAAUAAAUGGCAACAUCUUUUUGCAGGAUUCACUAUUUGGUUAUCUCAGUCAGAAGCUACAGAUGAAGAGUCAGCGAAAGAGGAAACCCGGAGACAUUUACAAGAUGGUCUUCAAGGUUAUUCAAAUGCAGAGGUCGUAGUCAAGCUCGGGGGUUGGGAUGCUAAUUACUUCAAAGCAGUUGCUCAAGCUUCGCUAAGUGCUCUCAAACACUUGAUUUUGUCUGAUAAGAAUCUUCCAGGUAAGAAAAGUUUGUAUAUAAGACUGGGAUGCCGAGGGGACUGGCCAGAUAUUAAACCUCUUGGCUGGGAUCCAUCGACCGGAUCUGAUGCAUCAUCUCCCCUAUCAUAGUAUCAAUCCCUCCGAGUACGUAAUUCGGUAAUGCUGCGUCAUUUGUCUCUUCCAGAUUGUUUUGUCAAUGUGUCUUGUUUCCCUCAGGUUCAUAAAUUUGCUCUUCUAUACCAAGGCACUGUAUAUUGUUAUGUACAUUCCAUGUUGAUCGAUUAUUUGUUACUUAUCAGUAAGGAAAAUUCUGGAGGGUUACUACUUUCAACUCUCUUCUUCAUAGUUAAAAAAUAAAAUAAAAUAAAAUAAAGAAUAAUAAAAAAUAAAAAAUUUAAAAUGAACUGAUGAAGGCUCAAAGAAAAAAAGUGACUGAAUAAAGAAAAGAAAAAGGUGCUGGAUUUUUAAACAUAUUACAUUAUAUAUGUUUAAUAUUUUCUUUAAAAAAAAAAAAAGUCUUUAAAAGUCUCCGGUAAAAGUCUUCACAAAUCCAUGAAAAACUUUUACUAAUUCCUACCAAAUCCAUAGAAAUCACUUAAAAUUUCACAAAGUCCACAAAAAGCACCCACAUUAAAAAUUCUCCAAAAGUCUUUAAAAGUCUCAAUUGAAGACACCCCCAAGAUUGGAGUUAACUUUAGAUGAUAACAGUUGAAUCAUUGCUGGUUUUACAAACAAGGAUCAGUGAUGGAUAUUGGAAUUGGAAAACAUUCAUUAUCUUAAGCAGUGUAUAUUGUUGAACAUAGACUGAAUCUCUAUGGAUAAUGUCAUAAUACCGGCUUUCACAUUUUUCUAAAAUAUGGUUCUGGUAAGUCUCUGAAUCAUGAGACGGGGUCAUUAAAUCAUUCUUGUUGAACCUGUGUACCAUUUUCUUUGCGUGCUUGGUCUCUCCCGUCAUUAAUGAUUUGUUAUUUAAUUCUUUUCUAUGUUGUUUUGUGCAUGUAAAUUCUACUGAGUAUGAAUUUAGUAUUUAAAAUCCUUAUAAAAUGUAUGAACUUGACAUAUAUGUGAUAUGGAAGAUCAGUGGGGUGUUGCCUACAAGAUUAUCCGGAAGGAAGACCAGGAGGCUGCAUUGGAGGUAGGUUUUAAGUUUUAGAAAAUAUAUAAAAUGUUGGAUUCUGUCUUUUUUAUGUAACAGUUAUUAAAAUUAUUUCUUUUUGGUGGUAAAUGAAUUCCUUCCAGUUAAUCUCGAUGAUAAAUUUGAAGAUAUGUCUUCACCUGUGCUUUUGAUUUUACUGGCUACUGUGACAGUAGAAGUUUUCAAAUAUUGGAUUGCUUCAAAAGAAAACCUCAGCAAAUCUAAGCACAAAGAAAACCUUCAAAAGAGGGCCUAGAAGUCAUAUUUGCUAUUUUAAUUUAAGAUAAUAGUCAAGUAAACAAAGAAUAAGACAUAAUAUUCUGAUAUUUCAGUUAUAGAUUGUUCCUUAUACCCGAGAGUUUGUAAUUUUCUUAAAAAAAUUACACUUUCAUGUCCAUUGUAUCAUUAAUAUUCCUAAUUCAUAUCUUUGUUUGGAUUAACUCUUCCCUUCUUAGAAAGGUAAUAUUAAAUGGAAUGAAAUCAUAAAACAAGCAAAGAAUGGACACUAGUGGUUCCCCCUCAAUGUGAGAUGUGUUUGCUGGUUUUCACUAUAAUGGAGAGCAAGAGUACUAGGUUUCUUCAGGCCUCUCCCACACCUGAAAGCUGCCUCCUAAAAUCCUUUGUGUAUGUAGGAAUCUCAUGGCGACCUAAUACAUGUAUGGAAUACAGGCUGGAUUGUAGUCGAGUGGAUAAGUGGAGAGUCUGAUUAGGCUCCCAUAGUCCAAAAUAUUGGACACUGAGAGAGAUUUGUUUACACUUCUAUUGCAUGUAUCAGUCUUUUCUUGUUCAUUAAGUAC
rnacentral:lncRNA from 1 species